AUCGCUUCUCGGCCUUUUGGCUAAGAUCAAGUAUAGUAUCUGAACUGAACAGUAACUUGUUGCAUUUGCCUCAUUAACUAGUUAUGAAAUAUAGAAUGCCUAAAGGAUUCCUGUGAAUUUUGGAAUCUGUUCUUCAGCUGGAUAUAUGCAUAACGCUGACCUACUUCCAGAGUAGCCCAAAACACUAUUCAUUUUGAGUAAGUUCUGGAACAGUA
ensembl:snRNA LOC120093485 U2 spliceosomal RNA